rnacentral:rRNA from 1 species
UGGGGAAUUUUGGACAAUGGGCGAAAGCCUGAUCCAGCAAUGCCGCGUGUGUGAAGAAGGCCUUCGGGUUGUAAAGCACUUUUGUCCGGAAAGAAAUCCUUGGCUCUAAUACAGUCGGGGGAUGACGGUACCGGAAGAAUAAGCACCGGCUAACUACGUGCCAGCAGCCGCGGUAAUACGUAGGGUGCAAGCGUUAAUCGGAAUUACUGGGCGUAAAGCGUGCGCAGGCGGUUUGCUAAGACCGAUGUGAAAUCCCCGGGCUCAACCCGGGAACUGCAUUGGUGACUGGCAGGCUAGAGUAUGGCAGAGGGGGGUAGAAUUCCACGUGUAGCAGUGAAAUGCGUAGAGAUGUGGAGGAAUACCGAUGGCGAAGGCAGCCCCCUGGGCCAAUACUGACGCUCAUGCACGAAAGCGUGGGGAGCAAACAGGAUUAGAUACCCUGGUAGUCCACGCCCUAAAACGAUGUCAACUAGUUGUUGGGGGAUUCAUUUCCUUAGUAACGUAGCUAACGCGUGAAGUUGACCGCCUGGGGAGUACGGUCGCAAGAUUAAAACUCAAAGGAAUUGACGGGGUCAUAGCUGUUUCCU